GGGAGAGAGAGGAACAGAGAGAGAGGAACAGAGAGAGAGGAACAGAGAGAGAGGAACAGAGAGGGAGAGAGGAGAAUGAGGACAGAACAGAGGUGGAACAAGAGCAGAGGGGUCUCCAGGAACACAGGCACGGGGAAGGAACACACGGGCUAUGUACAAUCCUCCACGGACGCUCAGGCUAGCUCGGACUCCGGCUUUAGCUCACCAACAGUGAUCCUCAGGCUGGCAAGAAGUCUGGCACAGGAAAGGAGAACAGGAGAGGUGUGGAGAGCCAGACAGCAGCCAGCACGGGGAGUGCUGAGACACGGGAGCGGAGAGCACAAACACUGGGAGAAGACACGACACGGGAGUCUGGGGAAAACACGGGGAUUUAUUGUUGUUUCCAUCACUGUAAAUAAACGCACUUUUCGCACACAGAGCACCGCGCCUGGGUCCUCCUUCCUCACACCCCCCACGGUCUGCCAUGCC